rnacentral:tRNA from 1 species
CGGAGCGUGGCCUAGUGGUUUAGGGCGCAGCCUUUGGGAGGCUGAGGUCGUGGGUUCAAAUCCCACCGCUCCGA